UUCUUUGUUUAUUUGAUUGCAAUGUUAGUUUACUGUAGGGUUUUCUAAGACAGAAGCUAUCUGGCCAAGGGCUUGCAUUUAUAAUUGCAGGUGGAUCUGUUGUACAGAAAAAUCUUGAGGUGGGCAAGGUACUAUCUGUUGAUGUUUCUUGUAUAGCAGUUGUGACUAGCUACAACAGUCAACGUCCAAAUCAAAUACAAUGGGCCCAUGAGAAGAGCAGUGUUUGGUAUAACUGAGAUCCUCAAGCUAGUAAGAAGGCUUUAUAGACUCAUUCUAGAUUCUGCAAAAGAGAGGGAAAAUAUUGAUGGGCGCACUAU